UCACGUUUUUUUACUGAACAAUGAAUAUUUUGCGUAGUGUCAUAAACAAAACAAGUUUUGAUCCGUUUAGAAUUCACGUAUUUUUAUUUUAGGUAUACAAUUGAGAUUAGGACAUGCAGGUAGAUCGAGGCGGUGAAAAUAUAAAGUAGGGUUUUACCUCCUUCGCCAGCACCAACUCAUGUUUCACCACCAUUUUCUUCUUAAACUUCUGUUCAUAAGCCUCUGUCGACUCUCUCUAUCUCUUUUUCCUUUUUUUUAUUACAAGAUUUGGCGAUUAACACGGUUUUAUUUGAUUGAUUUGGAUGAUUUUUGUGUUGCAGAAACCAAUUGUACCAAAGCAAAGAUUGCCGAGGAUACUAAAAACAUUGACAGGCAUUUAGCAGGCUUUUGAGAAUCAAUCACAAAAUUUGCGAUAUCAAGGUAGUUGCUCAAGUUAUGUUGUGCUUAGCUCACACAAUCUGGAUUGGCAACACUGUAGCAGUGGCAACCUCCAUCGAUCUAAUAGGGAACCAUCUGUUUGGUGUCUGGAAUGGUGACAGGAGAAUUUCUUCAAGCCAAGACACUCACUUGAAUUCAGAGUCUACUGAUGCAGCUAAGUACUAACCUUCCCAAACGUGAAUAUAGAUUUACUAUCUAUGAUGUUGAGCAUCCCUUGACAGCAGAAAAUUCCCCCUAAUUGCUGUCACCCGUUGGGCUUCCUGCUACCGCUUCGAGGAAAGACCCGCCAUACUAACAAGUAGACUUCACACUAGAGAGAAGCAGAUGAAUUACUGGCAAGUAAGACUCUUUGAGCACUUAAUGUUUCCUUUCUUAUAGAGGAUGGAUGGUGUUUCUGAGAAAGUAUAGUUACAUAUAUCUUUAAGUUGUCCUCUUUCUUUAAGUUACAUAUAUCCUUUAGUGGCGAUACAUGCAUACACAAAACAUCUAUAUUGGUUGGAGAACCAUGCAAGCAAGGAGGUCAGUACAGCCCAAAAGCGGUAUCCAUCUUGAACCAUUGAUCACGAUCAUAUUGUACUCAUAGCGAUGGCGGUGUUUGUGAAAAUAAUAACUAUGAAACAGAUGCAGUUUUUCCACAGUCACAUAGUCACACUGCUGGUUCAAAUUUGGCUGCUGAUGAGCUGAGGGAUUUUUUUUUCUUUUUUUUUUUUUUUGUUAUUGCAAGGGUGGGCCUUAAAUGUCAGGUAAAUAUAUGUUUCUCAAUCAUUUCUGGAGUACUAUGUUGCAAUAUGUGUCUGCUAAAUAAUCAUAUUCAUGUUAACUGUUCACCACCUAGCCACUUGGUUAUGUUGUUGCAAGUUGCGUGCCGCAUCCACAACUUGAAAGUAACAAUCUGCUUUUUUUAUUUGGCACAUUAUCCAUUCUUGCGAUCAAGUCUAAGGACUAAAAAUAUGCACGCUUGAUUUUUGAUAACAAAUUAAAAAUUCUAAUACAUCUAGAUAUUAACAUCUUUCUCAUGUUGUUUUGAUAAGUUACUAACGGAAUUGGAAUAACUAAGUUUUUUUUUCUCCUUUUUUUUUGGUUAUUUCAGCGAAGAUGGUGGUCGAGGUGGUUAUGGAGAAAAUGGGGACGUCAUACGUACAGACAACAAUAAAUAUGGAGGAUCUGGGUCGGAAAGACAUCAACAACAGGGAAACCGUCUGCAGUGUGUACCGAUAGAAUCUGUAUGAGAAGCAGCUGUUAGAAUCUGUAUGAGAAGCAGCUGUGUAAACAUUGAUAUAGAAGGUGAGGAAAAUAUCCACGUAGUCACAAAUUGUUGAUAUAGAAGGCGAGGAAAGGUGUGGAGAAUAUCCAUGUAGUCACAAAAUGUUGAAUUCAGUUACUUUCAAUUGAAACACUUUGCUA